CUCUGGUGCUGAAACCCCUAUGAUUCCUGGAGAGUUAGUUGUUUUGUUUUAAACACAACUUGGAAGGCAAAGAAGGUUGAGUUCUGAUGGCAGUGACAGAUGACAGUGCCAGCAGCAACAAUGAGGGUACUAUUACUUGUGUUUUUGAUUGAUAUGCCGUUUCAACAAAUGUGAAAACUGCUAUGGAAAUGGAUCUGAGAAUAUCUUUUUGAAGAAUAACCUUUGAAUUGACCUCAGUGAUAAGAAGCCAUCCUAAGAGUGGUCUCCCUAGACAAUGACCGCAACGCAUCUGAAAGCAGAAAUGACCUUGGAAGGAGGAGAAUGCCACAGACUCCGACCAAUGCAGUUGAAAUCCGAUUCACACAUGCUCUACAGGGUAGGUGUUUG